CGUCACACCCACCAACAAGACGCCGGAGAAGCAGACGUGACGUCACCGAAUGGCGAUACGGUGAUGUUUUAGAUUGUGUUAAUUUUUCAACAAUCUUUUAGUGAAGCCGCACGGCGCCCAAAAUUAACAAGAUGAUGGUCAGCAGACGAGCUCUGGAGAGGAUUUACUCGGCGGUGUUGUUGGCUGUUGUGCUCCUGUCGUGGUCAUACGUCAUCUACGCAAGCAGGGUCGCAGCUCAUUGGCUGCUGGAGGAGAGGACCACCCUUCAGCGUCAUGACUGACAGCCAGCUACUUCUUAUCAGGCUGUCAGAUCACAACAUCAGAAACAGGAAGUGUCCACAGGCUGGCUGACUUCCCUGAGACCAAAGACCUCCAGAGGAGAGCAGGGGGUUUUGCUGCACAUCCUCAUCACCUGUUAGUGAACUGACACCAACAGGAGGAAGAACAGGAGUCCAGCUUGAUGGCAGUGUUGACCAGACACCUGGGAGGAAGUCAAGGAGGAGGACAUGCUUGAGGAGGAGAAGGUAGUCGAGGAGGAGGCGUGAUGAGGGGACCACGGGAAGAGACGUGAAGAAGACCCUAACACCAAUAGGGAACACUGACAAUGCCUAAUGCAGUUUGUUAUGAACAAAGUGGACUAAGGUUGUAUUGUGUCUUGAAACUUUACACUGUCGGGUCAUCUUUUUAACACUGACUUGGCUGCCAACAACUUCCUGCUCAUUGCUGAGCAUUUCAACACUUUGACUUUAAUUUGGACCCAUUUCCACAACAUUAUGCAAAAUGUCAAACAUGAAGAUCUCACAGUAAUGGCUGGUUAAUCUUUUGAGUCCAGCAGUGGUUCAAAUCAUUCGGCCUUUCUAGUUAUUCAGAAACCUGAAAAGUCAAUUAUGGGAGACUCAUUAGCAGAGAGGAAAGGAUGUUUUUUUUUUUAUUUUUAUUGUAACAACCCGUGUUAUUGUGAGGCAGGAAGAUGAUGGGUGAAGGGCGACGAAAGAUUGGGGGUUGCUGUGGUCUCCUACUUGAAGUUGACCGCUCUCAGCGUAAUGUCAAAGGGCAGUCCUCGCUCGACCAGCUCCAUCUUCAGCUGCAGCCAGACAAAAGUGCCGGUCAAAUUGUGUCUCAAAUGAUGUCUUACCUGAUGUGUGGAGGACAUUCUAAGAUGGUGGACCUGCGGUAAGAAGACCUCCCGGAGGUAUUCCUUGGACAGCGGGGACAAAGUGACGAGCCCGGCUUUCAGCACAGCCACAACUAGAGACAAAAGUCACACUAAGCUUCCAUUGGUUGACAGAUGGCAAAGUUGUUACAUCCUACUGUUGGCAGGAGGAAACAGGACGUUUAUCAUCAAUGGAUGACGGACAGGAAGAGGCUCCACUCACCAUGAUCAACGACCACAAAGACACAGCGUAUUUCUGAGUGGAGUUUACUGAGGAAGACAACAUCAGCGUGUAAGCAUGCACACAUGAAGUCAACUACACUUGACUCAGUCAUCACCAGAAAUACAUACGCCUCUGAAGUGCCAAUGGCUUGAAUAACGAAGCACACGGGAUGACUUUGGCCCACGUCGCUGUCUGACGGCCUCCAGGACAGCAUGAAGCUUCCGUUGGCCAUUGUCUUCUUGGUCAUAUUGGAUGGCCCACUGAACAGAAGCUCAGAAACACUGACAGACCAAGAGGUCUCAUUAGACUGAUUGAUACCGUCAAUCCAGUGGCCACUCUACAUGAAGGGCAGGGGCACCAGAUGAUGGUGUGUGUGUGUGUGUUUUUUAAAGAUUUUAUAUUGAAUACAUAGAAGUCACUCAGUUGCAAUGAAAGGUAGAAAUGUAAUCCUUACAGCGCUGUUGGGUUUUUUUUUGUGCUUUUUUUUUUGUUGCUCUCAGUCCUAACUGCUGUGUCUCAAAUGGAAUUCUUCCGUCAGUACACUUCAGAUAGUAUACUUUACUGUGUACACUGUGUACUUAGUUCACAUGUGUGUAUUUUGACAGUGUCCCUAAUCCAUUAAUGUCAUUGUGCGCUUAUCGGAAAUGUUUAUGGCAAUGCGGUAUUUUACCUCCUCCUCCUCUCUUUUUUUUAAUGGUGAAUUGCAACCACUUCAUGGAGCAUUAUCACCAACAUUUGGCUCACCCUAUAAAAUAGCUGCCAAUUCUCCAUCACACAAUUAAAAAUAAAUUUGUUAUGACUUUUUCUGGCUUCCGUGUUCCCUCUGCUUCAAAUGAGACAGAUUAUGCCGUCACUCUUUGGUAGUCCCGCACUUUCUGCUACAUAGCCAAGAUGGUGACUGUUGAGGGUAGUAAGUAUUCAUAACUGUGCACUGAUUUUGUGUGUAACAUCCGGAUACUGACAGUGCACUGCGUUUUUGACAUUGGUUUUCCCAUUUUUCAUGGGAAGGCACUUAUGCACUCAAAAGACAGUAUAAGUACUGAAGUAUGCCAAUUGAGUUUUCCAUUUGAACAUCCCAGUGAGUGUGCCUUGUUUUUCUAAACUGACCAAUGAUACACACGUAAAGUUCUGGAAUAAAACUAUUUGACUCAGCAAAGUAGAUUUUA